UUAGAAUUAGUUAAAUAAUUUAAUAAUAUUAAUUUGUCAAUUUAAAGUUAUAAAAAUUUUUAUAUUCUUAU
rnacentral:tRNA from 1 species